rnacentral:rRNA from 1 species
GAUGAACGCUAGCGACAGGCCUAACACAUGCAAGUCGAGGGGCAUCGGGGCGUAGCAAUACGCUGCCGGCGACCGGCGGAUGGGUGAGUAACGCGUAUGCAACCUGCCUUCAGCAGAGGGAUAGCCCGUUGAAAGACGGAUUAAUACCCCGUAACACAGGGGCUCCGCAUGGAGAUUAUUGUUAAAGGGAUACUUCCUUCGGGGGGUAUUCCGGCUGAAGAUGGGCAUGCGUUCCAUUAGGUAGUUGGUUGAGGUAACGGCUCACCAAGCCUACGAUGGAUAGGGGAACUGAGAGGUUGGUCCCCCACACUGGUACUGAGACACGGACCAGACUCCUACGGGAGGCAGCAGUGAGGAAUCUUGGUCAAUGGACGGAAGUCUGAACCAGCCAUGUCGCGUGAAGGAGGACGGCCCUAAGGGUUGUAAACUUCUUUUGCAGCGGAAUAAAGUAUUCCACGAGAUGGGAUAUUGCAAGUACGCUGCGAAUAAGGAUCGGCUAACUCCGUG